rnacentral:rRNA from 1 species
UUUAACGAGAGUUUGAACCUGGCUCAGGAUGAACGCUGGCGGCGUGCCUAACACAUGCAAGUCGAGCGAAGCACUUUACUUUGAUUCUUCGGAUGAAGAGUUUAGUGACUGAGCGGCGGACGGGUGAGUAACGCGUGGGUAACCUGCCUCACACAGGGGGAUAACAGUUAGAAAUGACUGCUAAUACCGCAUAAGACCACAGCACCGCAUGGUGCAGGGGUAAAAACUCCGGUGGUGUGAGAUGGACCCGCGUCUGAUUAGGUAGUUGGUGGGGUAACGGCCCACCAAGCCGACGAUCAGUAGCCGACCUGAGAGGGUGACCGGCCACAUUGGGACUGAGACACGGCCCAAACUCCUA